rnacentral:rRNA from 1 species
UACAGAGGGGGCAAGCGUUGUUCGGAAUUACUGGGCGUAAAGGGCGUGCAGGCGGUUGGUUAAGUCCAGGGUGAAAGCUCCCGGCUCAACUGGGAGAGGUCCUUGGAUACUGGCCGACUUGAGGGAGGCAGAGGAGAGUGGAAUUCCCGGUGUAGUGGUGAUAUGCGUAGAUAUCGGGAGGAACACCAGUGGCGAAGGCGGCUCUCUGGGCCUUACCUGACGCUGAGACGCGAAAGCGUGGGGAGCGAACCGG